GAGGACAGCCCGGGGUCCUCAGGAUCAGGACCCCUGUGUGAUUAGCUCUGAAGCUAACUCGAGCUAACCGUGUCAAACAGAGAAACUGAAACAUGGAACAAGUGAAGCUGGAGGAGGAGCACAGAGGAGGAGCAGAGGAGCAGGAGGAGCAGGAGGAGCACAGAGAGGAGCCAGAGGAGCCAGAAGAGCCAGAACUGUGCAUGAAACCGGAGCCCAGAGUAUUCUUUUUUAAGAUGGUCACUGUCAAAACUGAAGACGAUGAAGACAAGUCCUCUGUGCUUCAUCAAAGACCAACUGAGAAGAACAGAGAGGAAACCAACGGAGAGGAGUGUGGAGCAGACCAGAGACCAUACAGCUGUUCAGACCAGAGACCAUACAGCUGUUCAGACAGUGAGGAGCAGAGGGAGGAGACAGAAGAGCAGAUGGUGGACUGGCCUCUGCACUGGGAUCACACAUCCACACGAGGAGAGCCGGAGCCGGACUUCUCUGUGGGAGCGAAGGGGAAUCGGCUCCGCUGCUCCUGGUGUGGGAAGGAGUUUGUGCGUUUUUCCGAGUUACAGAGACACGUGCUGAUUCACACCGGACAAAAACCAUUUAGGUGUCCAUUUUGUGCACAAUGCUUCCGACGCAAAAGCAACUUAAAGCGACACACGAGAGUUCACACCGGAGAGAAACCUUUCGGGUGUCCAGUUUGCGAGAAGGCCUUUGCCUACAAGCAAAACCUGGAGAAACACACGUGCGCGGAUUUAGAGGAGCGGACUUCGAACGUGGACGAGGGGAAACCAUACAGGUGCUCAGAAUGUGGCAAAGGAUUCACACGCAUUUCAAAUUUACACAUUCACAACUUGGUCCACACACAAGAGCGCACCCAAAAAUGUUCCGUCUGCGAGAAAGCGUUCAAACAAAAGGCCAGUCUGACUCGACAUCUCAAACUGCACCAUCACAUCCACCGCAGCGGGAGGGCAUCAGGGGCAGCAGACGAGGACACGGUGGCCAAACAGCGCUGUCCUGACUGCGGGAAGGAGUUUUCACGUAAAUACGACGUGACGCGGCACAUGAGGACACACACGGGCGAGAAACCUUUCAGGUGUCCAGUUUGCGGUCAAGGAUUUGCCGUAAAGAGCAACGUGAAGGUGCACAUGGCCACGCACUCCGAGGAGAGACCUUUCAGGUGUCCCUUCUGUGAUAAAGGAUUCACACAAGACAGUUCCAUGAAGAGACACAUGGUCGUGCACACGUAGACCCUGCAGCUGUACAGUCUGGAGCCUUCAGUUUGUCGUGAUACCAACAUUUCAAACUAUUUCCAUACUAAGGAAUAGACUCGAUACUCAAUACUGAUAAAAACUCUUUUAGACAAAACACUGCGGUUCCAUAUGAAAUGUUGUACUUUGUCCUUUUCUCUGUGUAAUGCCUCAGUGUCCAGAAGGUUCCGUGGAGUAUGACCGUUGUCUGUAUCUGCUACUGACAGAAACCUCAAUUUCACCCUUUGGGGAUCAAUAAAGUGUCUCUGUCCAUCUGGAGGACGCACAGCCGUGUCACAGUGGAUUUUGUAUUUACUCAGUUUUAUUUUAUUCUUGUACAUUGACAAAUCUUUGUAUUUAUGAGUCAUAAUAAAGAUCAGGACUAAUCAGCUCUGUGGAACUAAUAACAAGACAUUUAUUUAAAAUCUGUUUCUGAAACUAUAAACUGUUAAGUUAUUAAAGCAUUUUCACUGAAUCUUGUGUUUUAAAUGUGAUUUUUGGAUUUAAAGCGGCUGCGUUAUGUCUGUGUCCCUCAGUCGUCCAGGUCUGAUCCAGAGCAAAAGACCAAGUUUAAAUCUGUCACUGGACAAAAUGUAGGAGUGAAGACGUUUGUCUGCUCGUCCAAGACACUUCUUCAGUUCUGGUCAGUUUCCUGCUGGACACUGCCUUACAUCUGUCUGAAGGGGGCGCUAACGACACUGAAAAUAACACACCUGUUUGUUUAGUUUCUGUUUGUUAAUUUGACUCAGGCACAGUUCACAUUUAUGUCUGAGUCAAACUCAGCGUCAUCAUUCAAGCCCCUAAUGGCUCCUCUCACACCUAUUAGCAUCCUGGCUAUUAGCAUCCUGGCUAUUAGCAUCCUGGGUAGUUCUAUUGUUUUUAUAAAUAGGAGGUAGAUGAUGUCUAUUCUGUUCAGUCUUUCCUAAAGGUGCUUUUAUUAUCUCGGUGGAAUCAGAAUCGUUAUUGGAAUCGAGGAGCAGCUGAAACACGAGGGUAGAAACAGAAAACGUUUUGUUCCAAAGCAAAGGCCAUUUAUUUAAGAUAUUACAACAUUUUAAAAUUGAACAAUAGUUUGGAUUUACACUGACCUGGUCCAGAUCAGGGUCAGUCACUGCAAAACCACCUGAGAUCCACCUGUGAAAGUGUCGUCCUCACUUUGAGACGUUUGGGCCUUUAGGUCGUCCUCACUUUGAGACGUUUGGGCCUUUAGGUCGUCCUCACUUUGAGACGUUUAGGUCGUCCUCACUUUGAGACGUUUGGGCCUUUAGGUCGUCCUCACUUUGAGACGUUUAGGUCGUCCUCACUUUGAGACGUUUGGGCCUUUAGGUCGUCCUCACUUUGAGACGUUUAGGUCGUCCUCACUUUGAGACGUUUGGGCCUUUAGGAGGUCGUCCUCACUUUGAGACGUUUGGGCCUUUAGGAGGUCGUCCUCACUUUGAGACGUUUAGGCGUUUAGGUCGUCCUCACUUUGAGACGUUUGGGCGUUUAGGUCGUCCUCACUUUGAGACGUUUAGGACGUCGUCCAGUGGAGUCUCACCCUGACAGAGACUUACUGCAGCUCAGGUUUAGACAAAAUGAGAUGUUUAUCAGAACAGAUUUUAAAAUGUGCUGACGUGUUUUUAAACUGUGGCGCACGGCUCCUCCAGGAGGGACGGCUCCUCCAGGAGGGACGGCUCCUCCAGGAGGGACGGCUCCUCCAGGAGGGACGGCUCCUCCAGGAGGGACGGCUCCUCCAGGAGGGACCAGGACAGACGCCAUUUUGUGGGUUUGACUCUUUUAAAGUUCAUCUGACCCACUUUUCUAUUCUUUUUUUUUAAACUAAAGUGGAAAUGAGGUAGUCCACUUUAGUCCAGGGUUAGUCCUGGUUUAGUCCUGGUUCAGUCCUGGUUCAGUCCUGGUUUAGUCCUGGUUUAGUCCCGGUUCAGUCCUGGUUCAGUCCUGGUUUAGUCCUGGUUUAGUCCUGGUUUCGUCCUGGUUCAGUCCUGGUU